GCAGACACACUCUGUUCUUUGCUGCUCUCUCCAGCAUCGGACUUUUUCUGUCUGCUACAUGAACAUGCAGAAUGUGACAGUGACUGGCCUCGUUGUGAACGGCCGGUGCCUCUCAUGUUCUGCUACAUCCAG
ensembl:snoRNA small nucleolar RNA SNORA77